CUACUACAACAUCGAAAGAAGCAUGGUACUUACUUGAAAUGGAGUAUCAAAGAAUAAACAAAGCGAUUACUAGAGGCUGCAAACCAUGCAUAGGAAAUUUGAGAAUUCGCAGAUGAAGCCAUCAGAAUCGGUUCAAGAAUUUUUUUCGAAAGCUGACUUAGUGGUGAAUCAGAUUAAAUCUCUCGGAGAAGAAUUGAUAGACCAAAAGCUUGUUGAGAGAGUUUUACGAUGCCUUUCUCCCAAAUUUGAUCAUGUUGUUGCUGUAAUAAAAGAAUCGAAGGAUUUAUCCAAUUAUUCUCUGAAUGAAUUAAUGGGGCCACUUCAAGCACAUGAGCAGUGCAUCAGCAGAAUGGUAGAGACCCUAUUCAGCAAGCCUUUCAAUCAAAACUUGAUUUGAAGAAGAAAUUAGAUGAGUCUAGUCAAUGGAACUCUAGUCGAGGUCAUGGAAGAUCAUCUUGUGUAAGAGGAAGAGGUAGAAGAAUGAGCAAUGGUCAACAAAGGAACUCAAAUGGAGGUAACAAUUCUAAUUCUUGCUCAUAUUGUAGAAGAUCAAACCACGAUGAUAAAGAUUGUUGGUAUAAGGAGAAGUAUGGCCAAAACAAAAUCAUCCCCAAUGCUAUUAUUGCAAGCGAUACGGUCAUAUUGAGAAAAACUGUUUUAAAAAUGUUGCAAACAAUACCAAUUCCCAGGAAAAGAAAAUGGUUCUGAUGAAAAUUUAUUUCUUGCUUACACAUUUGCUCAUGGUGAUAAGUAUGGGGAGCAAUCAUGUGACUAGCAACAAAUAAUUCUUUGAAGAGAUUGAUGAAUCCAUGAAGACAAAAGUCAGGAUGGGAAACAACAAUCAAGUUCAGGUAUGUGGAAUGGGUACAAUUGCUGUAAUGUCAAAGUUUGGAAAGAAACUGUUACAUGAUGCUUUGUAUGUGCCUGGAUUAGCUCAUAACCUAAUUAGUGGUUGCCAGUUAUUGAAGAAAGACUAUUACGUUGUAUUCAAUGUUGAUGAGUGCUUGAUAUUUGAUAAAAGGAGCAUGUAACUAAUCUAUUCAGCUAUAAAUAGGAGUAGAUAAGAUCUUUCCACUUGUGUUUUUAAAAGUUCCUGUUAAUGCCUUUGAUGUAGUUACUGAUGAUUCUUUUCUUUGGUAUCGAAGAUUUGGAUACCUUAAUUUCAAAGGACUAACCUUGUAAUGCAAAAAAAAUACGGUAAAGUGUAUUCCAAUGAUUAAAGAUGAAAGGCAAAAUUGUGAAGCUUGUAUCUUUAGAAAGCAUUUCUAAAAGAUGUUUCCCAAAGGAAAAUUGUGGAGAGCUCCAAAGCCAUUGAUGUUGGUGCAUGCAGAUGAUUUCUCAAGAAAGAGAUGGGUGUAAUUUUUGAAAGAGAAGUCAGAAGUUUUUAAAUGUUUCAAAAACAAUUCAAAACCAUGGUUAAAAAGGAAAAAAAAAAGAUAUCCCUUAUUAACACUACACCCCAAUCGUGGUGACGAGUUCACAUCCAUAUAAUUUAAUAAUUUUUGCAGCUAUAAUGGCAUCUAAAGGCAACUUACGGCAAGUUAUACUCCACAGCAAAAUAGAGUCACCGAAUGAAAAAAGAACUAUAGUUGUAACUGCUGAAGCAUGCUAAGAGACAAAACCCUUCCUAACAAUUUCUGGGCAGAAGCUGUCGGAGUUGCAUUAGAGCUUUUUAAUAGAUUUCCAACUCAAGUAGUUGAAGGAAUUACUCCUUAUGAACUUUGGUAUAAAUACAAGCCCACUGUAAGUCACUUAAAGAAAUUUGGUUCUAUUGCUUGUGCUUUUGUGCCUAUUGAAUUGAGAAAGAAACUGGAUGAUAAAAGCAUCAAAUGUAUUUUUGUAGGGUAUAAUAAAGAAACUAAAGGCUAUAGGCUUUAUGAUCCUAUUUUAGAAAGGUUAAUUAUAAGUCGUGAUGUAAUUUUCAAUGAAAAUAAUGCUUGGAUUUGGGAAGAUGUUCCUUUGCAGCCUACACAUGUGGUGGAGAUAGCUGAUCUAAAAUCAAAUAGCCUCCAGUAAUAUCCUCUGUCAUCUCUAGAAUCAACAUCAAGAAGAGUAAGAAAUCUUGCUGAAAUUUAUGAGUCAUGUUACUAUGCUUCUAUUACCUUGGAGUCUAGUUGUUUUGAAGAUACAGAAAGAAAGAAAAAUGGUAUUACAAUGGGUAAAGAGAUUAAAGCAAUUGAGAAGAACAAGACGUGGACCUUGAUGGAUUUACCAGAUAGAAAGAAAGCUAUUAGCCUUAAAUGGAUCUACAAGUCUAAACUCAACUCAGGUGGCUCGUUACAAAGGCACAAAGCACAGUUGGUGGCUAAGGGAUAUGCACAAGUUGCAGGUAUCGAUUUCACCGAAACUUAUUCUCCAGUGGUUCAUUUUGAUACUAUUAGAACACUUUUGGCAUUGGCUGCUAAUAGGGAUUGGAUCAUUUAUCAAUUGGACAUAAAAUCUGCUUCUCUUAAUGGUGAUUUGGUGGAAGAAGCAUAUGUUGAAUAGCCCUGAGGAUUUGUGGUGAAAGAUCAAAAACAGAAGGUGUAGAAAUUACAUAAGGCACUCUACGGGCUCAAACAUGCUCCGCGAGCCUGGUAUAGCAAAAUUGACUCAUAUUUUACCAAGAACAAUUUUACAAAAAGUGCUAAUGAGCCUAACUUCUAUGUUAAAAGUUACAAUGGUGAAUUUUUGGCUGCAAGCUUAGACAUUGACGAUAUGAUUUUAACUGGAAGUUCAUUCCAUAUGGUGGAAGCAUUUAAAAAGUCCAUGAUGCAAACUUUUGAUAUGUGUAACUUGGGUUCAUUAAAUGAUGUUGAUGAAUGCUUGAUAUUUGAUAAAAGGAGCAUGCAACUAAUCUAUUCAGCUAUAAAUAGGAGUAGAUAAGAUCUUUC
rnacentral:lncRNA from 1 species